AUGCCCCGCUCACUCUAAUAAAAAACAUGUAAUCGUAUUUAUUUUCCUUCCAUUUAGUCAGAGGCGCUGAUGUCGGCCUUGUGAUUGGUGGAACAUGACUUUUGACAAAUCCUGCGCUAUCUGUGAAUCUGUAAUCUGUGUUCGUUCGUUCGUUGUCGUUCACUUAUUUUAUAUGAGGUUUGUUCCAACAUGAACUUUUGGACGGUCCAGAAACCGUCACGGAACUACUUGUACCGCUUGUUGUGCGCAUGUUCGUAACCGUAUCGCCCAGUUAUCGUCCGAUGACGGUAAUCCAAUGAUAAAAACCAAAGACGUAUGCCGUAGAUAUAUUAAUAUUAUGUGAUACAUGACAGAAGCUCGAAACAAAUGACAAUCAAUGAAAAACGCUAUUGCCCAAUUACUGAAAUGGUCAUCAUGACACCGUCACUAAAAGAUCACAAUUCUUGUUGGAACAGUGGGAAGGACGAUCCGAGGACGAUCAUAUUUUUGUUGGAACGGAUUUUGUUUACUGCGCAGGAGCGUUACCGUUUCGUGACGGUUCUCGGUCGUGUUGGAACAAACCUAUGGUCGGUUAUGUGAUGUGUUUGUGUCACCAUAAAAAGCUGAUAUUCAGUCCUGUUUUUUGAUAUUUUUGUUAUUUCAUAAUCGUGUACCUUUUUAAAGGUCUAAUGGCUCCGUUCAGCUGUUGUGUGCAGACGGUGGAAAAAUUCGACAAGUAAACAUUUAUUUAAUCCAAAUUACUCAUAUUUCUAUGUAAAAUGUCACAUUAUUGUUUAAAUAAAUAAGUAAGAAACAAAA